rnacentral:rRNA from 1 species
AUUGAACGCUGGCGGCAGGCCUAACACAUGCAAGUCGAACGGUAACAGGAAGCAGCUUGCUGCUUCGCUGUCGAGUGGCGGACGGGUGAGACAUGUCUGGGAAACUGCUUGAUGGAGGGGGAUAACUACUGGAAACGGUAGCUAAUACCGCAUAUCUUCUCAAGCCCAAAGAGGGGGAGCUUCGGGCCUCUUGCCAUCGGCUGUGCCCAGAUGGGAUUCGCUAGUAGGUGGGGUAACGGCUCACCUAGGCGACGAUCCCUAGCUGGUCUGAGAGGAUGACCAGCCACACUGGAACUGAGACACGGUCCAGACUCCUACGGGAGGCAGCAGUGGGGAAUAUUGCACAAUAGGCGCAAGCCUGAUGCAGCCAUGCCGGGUGUAUGAAGAAGGCCUUCGGGUUGUAAAGUACUUUCAGCGGGGAGAAAGGGAGUAAAGUUAAUACCUUUGCUCAUUGACGUUACCCGCAGAAGAGACACCGGCUAACACCGU